CUUGCCUCUGCCUCCACCAACACCCUUAACCUGAAAUCUAAAAAAGAAAAAGAAUUAGAAGAGGGAUAGAUCUAAAAAGAAACAAAAAAAGGGAAGAUAAUUACCUUUUUUUAACACUAUUUGUUGUGUUUUUUGCACCUUUAAUGUUGAUUUGUGUUUAAAUCACAAAAAAUAAGGUUUCUACGUAAAUUUUGGGAUUUUUUUGGGUGGUUAUGAUUCCGGCGCGGUGGUUCCAGUUGGAAGGUGGCGGCGGCUCGCCGGCGACAAGCCGGAAUCUGAGAAUCACGGCGGUCG
rnacentral:lncRNA from 1 species